rnacentral:lncRNA from 1 species
GCCAAGGCUUUUCAUGCCUUCUGGCGCUUGGUCGUAGAAGAACUCAAGCUUUGCUACUUCUACAAAGGCAUCUGCUAUCCCUGUUAUAGCAAAUUGAGGAAGGAGUAUGAAAAUGGUGAGUGGAACCUGGUCAUUUUGUUUAAAAGUGUGGUUUUCUCUAACGCUUUUCAGUCUCAUUCUUUCAGCAAUACAUGCUAUGACCAUGACAAUGAUUUGCAGCACCAGUCCUACACCCAUUCUUUGCAGCAAUGUGAUCCCUCUAGGGUUUUUGGUGAAUCGACGAGCAAAUGGAACAAAUAAACGGUCAUAGAUGACGAUGGUGAUCAGCAUAAAGAUUGUUAUAAAAGCUGAAAGGCUUGCUGGAGGAAUUUGAAAAUGGGGACCCAUGCUCCUGUCGAGGGUGGCGCCUUGUUUGAUGAAUAAUGUUCCCACUUGUGCAACAAGUGCACUUGGUAUGAAUGACACUGAUAGAAUGGGCAUCAUUUUAAUCAUUUGCUUUGUUUCUUCAACUUGAGUAACUGUGCAUAGAGUCCAUGCUUCGCUUGUAGGACUCCGAAC